rnacentral:rRNA from 1 species
AGAGCGAACGCUGGCGGCAGGCUUAACACAUGCAAGUCGAGCGGGCAUAGCAAUACGUCAGCGGCAGACGGGUGAGUAACGCGUGGGAACAUACCUUUUGGUUCGGAACAACACAGGGAAACUUGUGCUAAUACCGGAUAAGCCCUUACGGGGAAAGAUUUAUCGCCGAAAGAUUGGCCCGCGUCUGAUUAGCUAGUUGGUGAGGUAACGGCUCACCAAGGCGACGAUCAGUAGCUGGUCUGAGAGGAUGAUCAGCCACAUUGGGACUGAGACACGGCCCAAACUCCUACGGGAGGCAGCAGUGGGAAUAUUGGACAAUGGGCGCAAGCCUGAUCCAGCCAUGCCGCGUGAGUGAUGAAGGCCCUAGGGUUGUAAAGCUCUUUGUGCGGGAAGAUAAUGACGGUACCGCAAGAAUAAGCCCGGCUAACUUCGUGCCAGCAGCCGC